rnacentral:rRNA from 1 species
AUCUUCCACAAUGGGCGCAAGCCUGAUGGAGCAACACCGCGUGAGUGAAGAAGGGUUUCGGCUCGUAAAGCUCUGUUGUUAAAGAAGAACACGUAUGAGAGUAACUGUUCAUACGUUGACGGUAUUUAACCAGAAAGUAACGGCUAACUACGUGCCAGCAGCCGCGGUAAUACGUAGGUGGCAAGCGCUAUCCGGAUUUAUUGGGCGUAAAGAGAGUGCAGGCGGUUUUCUAAGUCUGAUGUGAAAGCCUUCGGCUUAACCGGAGAAGUGCAUCGGAAACUGGAUAACUUGAGUGCAGAAGAGGGUAGUGGAACUCCAUGUGUAGCGGUGGAAUGCGUAGAUAUAUGGAAGAACACCAGUGGCGAAGGCGGCUACCUGGUCUGCAACUGACGCUGAGACUCGAAAGCAUGGGUAGCGAACAGG